rnacentral:rRNA from 1 species
AUACGUAAGGGGCGAGCGUUGUUCGGAUUCAUUGGGUUUAAAGGGUGCGCAGGCGGGUUUGUAAGUCAGUGGUGAAAGACUGCCGCUUAACGGUGGAGGUGCCAUUGAUACUGCAGGUCUUGAGUUUGGAUGAGGUAAGCGGAAUGUGCAGUGUAGCGGUGAAAUGCAUAGAGAUUGCACAGAACGCCGAUUGCGGAGGCAGCUUACUAAGCCAAUACUGACGCUGAGGCACGAAAGCGUGGGGAGCGAACAGGAUUAGAUACCCUGGUAGUCCACGCUGUAAACGAUGUUCACUCGCUGUUUGCGAUAUACAGUAAGCGGCUGAGCGAAAGCAUUAAGUGAACCACCUGGGGAGUACGAUCGCAAGGUUGAA